AAGUAGAUAUCACACAUUUAUAAAUUUUCAAAUACACAGUAGAUAACGGUUACGGUACAAUUUAUAGCUGCUUGCACGCGGGAUAACCGUCCCGCACCUCGGAAUCCCUCGUUCUGCGCUACCUCGCACCUCUCGGCGCCCCUGCCCCCCCUCCCCCCGCUCUCUUUCUCUCUCUUUCUCGUAGAUAAAAGCAGUCACCGACGCACCUCUCUCGCCGACCUUGGCGCGCGCGAUCGCAGUGUUUGUUUACGUGUGCGCGAUCGCAGUGUUUGUUUACGUGCGCGCGAAAAUUACGCCGGCACGCAGUCCCAUUUGAGAAGAAGGCGUAGAAAGUCAGUCGGGACAUCAUUCUUUCGCCGCGUGUGCUUAGUUACGUCCGCGGCUUCUUUCCUUUCCGGAUGGAUUGUGUCUCCUCUCUUGGCAAGAGUGGGAGGGAAAGAGCGGAAGUUCGAUAAGAGGGAAGCAAACGUAUGCUUUCGUCAUCGUCCUCGCAAUGACGUGAGUCGUGGGUGCACGCGAGUGUGUGUGUGUGUGUGUGUGAGAGUGUCUGUAAUAGACACGUCGCGGUGUUGGCGAUUUCGCGAAAAGGAUCGGACGGGAAAAGCGGAUCCACUCGCGAGGACUGGUUAUGGAUGUUCUCCUCCUCCUCCUCCGCCCCUUCAGUCUCUUUUCAUCCUCCGGUGAGUUUUCCGGCUGUUUUUCCUUCGCUUUUUACUGCCAUCUCGCCGCGAUCGUUAACACAGACGCCGCUGAUCAAAGCUGUCGCGCGGCUGCCGAUAUUUCAUCGCGAUACAGCGAGGAGGGAUUGAUUCGCGACCUCGCGGCGAUUAUUUCGUUUUCGCGGCGCUGCCUCGAUUUACAUGUAAACGCCUCGUUCACCCGAUAACGCUCAAUUAAGUUACGCCUUUUAAUUAAUUAUAGCGAGCUGCACGACGGCGCAGGAAGAAGCAACUCGGACCGACAUCGACCUGUGGACCCCCGCUCUUGCUGCGCGGCACACAGCGCCGUUGAGAGCGCACCAAGUCGGUCGAAUACCUCGCGACAUUUCGGUCAAGCUUCGUUCAGCGACAACGAGACUUCGCAGGCAGCGGAAAAUCCGCGCGAAUGAGAAGAGAAAUUCCGCGACGAGAAGGCGAGGAAGCGGAAAGGUGAUAGGAGCGACACGAAGAGGAGAGUGUUUCAGCAGUCCUCCAUGCAAGGACACCCGGCGCAAGCACCGUGGAUUCUUUUCCCACGACGGACCCACACACGGGCGGACACCGCGGGGCAGCGACCGAGAGAGAGAGAGAGAGAGAGAGAGAGAGAAGAGUCGGCUCGUCGAGGCGUCUCCGUUCGGAACAAUGCCAGCCGGACUUGCUCCCGAAGGAGCAACGCGAGAGGGAACCACGGCUGCGGAGGGGACCACAGGACGCGCUGGAUUUCUGCCGUGCACGCAGGCGUGCGCGGCAGGCUCGUCGACGUCCGUUCGACGGAGAAACCGCGCAUUAAAGUGUGCUAAAGAGUGCUCUAGUGAACUUUUAGUCACGGCCACACCCAGCCUCCGUCCGAGGCUGGCAAGGCUGGACCUCUUACACACACCCACCCACACCCGGCACAGCGUGUGCACUUUCGUCCGAACAACUUCACGUAACGGGUGUCCGGAGCGGACACGGACACGCACACGCACGCACGCACGCACGCAUGGAUCGUUCGGAAGAGACGACGGCCGGCCGAAGAGAACGGUUCUCGCUUAACGAAGACGUUCAACGGAGAUCGUAAAAUUAAUCGACGAUAACGAGACGUCCCCGUCGCGGGGACUCGGAGACGAUGAUUAAGUAGGAAUCAGCAUGCGGACGCGAGACAGCGCGUUGUUACCAAGUACCAUGAUGUUAUCCGCGCUACUUUCGAUCCGGCCCGUUGCUAAUCGUUACGCGAGCCUCCUGCGCGAUCGUCUUUAUGAUCGCGCCACCGCCGCCGUCACCACGCGACGGUUUAUUAUUGUCUAUCUUCUCGCGCCCGAUUCUCAUGCGUUACAUCUCUAGAAAGAUUUUAUUUCAUCUGUUAAGGCCAUCGUGCCGACCUGCGUGACGCGGGAGGGGAGGCAAAGGGUUUCCCUCGUGUAAAAUGAGGCGCGUGAAGAAGUCGCGCGAGCGGAAAGCGGCCGCUGACGAUGACGACGACGACGACACAGAUACCAACAACUCUCUCGUUACCGCGAAAUAAAUAUCAAAAAUUGUGACACCGCCGUUAGCGCGUUUGCUCCGCUCGGCGUCGCAGCUCCGACUGUAAUUUACAAUUUACGCAAAUCGACAUUCUACGGAACGUCUAAUUAUACAGCUUUCAACGAGCGGGAAAUUAACGCCCGCCGCGGCGAAGCGGCCUUCCUCUCUCGAUUAACGCACGCGUGUCGUCCUCUUUCUUUUCUCCUCGCGUCCGAUAAAAACCUCCGCAAAGCGCCGCUACACAUUUCCUACGAUGGACGAUUAAUCCCCGUCCCGCGACUGUCAGCGUCCGCGAUCGAUAAUUACGAGGCAUCACCGACGGUCCAGGAAAGUCACGUUGGCUUGCGACAACGGUACGCUGGCUAAUUCACGGUCACGACGAAACCGCGCGCUAUCGCACACCAGCGUCAGCGCGUUCGUAGUCUCGUCCGCGUCGGGCCGCACGGAAUCGUCUUUCUCUACUAGCGGCUAUAAGCUCCUGAAGCCGUGGAGCGCAAACUUCCGUAAGCGCGAGCGUAAAACGCGAAUUGUCGGUGAAACACACUUAGGUACCUAUCAAUGCCACUGAUAGCUUUUAGAUAUACCACGUGAUCGGGUAAAAUAAAUUGUAUUUUUAAAAGCGCGAUGUACAUUAACAAAUAUAUACGAUAAACAAUUUUAUAGCUUGCGAUGUAUUUUAUAACUUUGUAUUUAAGUUUUUUACAUAAAUAACAUUGUAAUUUUAUUACAUCACAUUUGUAAUAUAUCCUACCAAUGGCAUUGAUAGCUUUUGCGUACACCACGUGAUCGGGUAAAAUAGAUUGUAAGUAUUAUAUUUCUAAUGCGCGAUGUAUA
rnacentral:lncRNA from 1 species